AUAUGCGGCUUCCCCUGCUGCUGCUGCGGUAGCACUGUGGAAACCAGUUUUUUUUCCCUUUCUUGCCUUGUUCGGACCAAAGCUUGAAUUUCUUCGCGACCCUGAUGAUUUGUCAAACCCCUUGCUGUCCAUCCAUGAACAUCUGGCAUAUCGACAUCAGCUCCUUGAUCUAAAAGGAACUUAACUAUUUCUGUGUUUCCUUCAGAUAUUGCUUUAUGAAGUGCUAUAGUUCCACUGCUUGUGGGCAGUGUCACAUCUCCUCCAUAAUUAACAAUUUCCUUGAGCAAAUCCAAGUUAUUUUGCUC
rnacentral:misc_RNA from 1 species